CGAGCCUGUGGUUAAUAAUUGGCCACAGUCACACAGACAUUAAGUGACAGACUCAGGAUAACACAGGUCAGAGAAGUGUCAAGCAGGGAGGAAGCAGUGCUAAUCUUCACACUUGGGUCCUAAACUUACCACAAAGAUAUUUCCUGCGUUUCUACCCCAUAGCGGAGCAAACAGAGAAGGUGUUAAAGGAAACAACAUGAAGCUUUGGCCGUUAAAUUUCAACCCAACAUUGUGAACGCAAUUUUGUGUUUUGUGAAUAGGACUUCAAAAGGAAAACUAGAAGAUUUUAAGAAGAGAAGGAAAGGAGGAGGAGAUGCAAAGAUAAGAGAAAGCAGUGGAGGGAAAGGGAGAGAGGAGAGGACAGAGCGGAACCGAAUAUUUUCUGCACGGCUCAGGGAAGAGCCUCGAGCCUGCCCGACCGACCUGCGCAUUCUGGGGAUCCCAGAAUAAGAUCAACGGAACAAGUAUUUAUGGAAUGACUGAGGAUCAGGUCACUUAAUAUGCAUCGGCUGCAUAAAUGCCUGCGAGAGGAAAACAGAAGUGCGUGAGCCAAAGCAGAGAGCCCCAGCUUGUUCAUUUCCGCAGAGAAGCAACAGUGCCUGAGUACCUGGAA